UAUAUAAGUUGCAAAGAAGAGGGGGGAAUUUGGGUUGAUAUCGGAAGGAAAGCAUACUCUGCAUUCUUUUUUGUUGAUACCUUUUUCCUUCUUCUUUUUUGUUUCUUCAAACAAACGAUCGCAACUAUAUCAAAGAAAUUGAUUUGGAUGCAUGACAGCAAUGUCUUGCUUGAUAAAAGAAACAAGUGUUUGCCUGAUAUUCAAUGCCAUUGAUUUGGUUGGAAAAUAUAGUUAUAUACAACUUUCAACAACGGAUCUCUUGGCUCUCACAUCGAUGAAGAACAUAGCAAAGUGUGAAAAUUAAUGUGAAUUGCAGAAUUCAGUGAAUCAUUGAGUUUUUGAACGCAUCUUGCACUUCUUGGAUAUUCCAGGGAGUAUGCCUGGUUGAGCAAUGUGAAUAUAUCUUAUCAGAACCUGUGUUUUUCUUUAACCAAGAUGAAUGCAUGGCUUUGGAAUUGAGUGCUUUACCUUGGUUCUUUUUACCAAGGUUCACUUGAAAUGAAGGGAAAACAAAACAUCGAGGGGUGUUUGGUUGGUUGAAUCACAGACAAGCAGAUUGAUUUGGAAAGAAACAGCUUGCUCUAUAACAACAAUGACUUGAUUAGUUGGCUGGCUUUGGUGUGGGUUGAUUUGAAAAAGGCAAAAGUCUUGUUUAGAGCUGUUCUCUUGCUACUGCUUUGUCUUUUCAACUAGCAAUAUAGUCAAAUAUAUAAACAAGCACCACAAAAAACCUUGAUUGUUUUAUGUUUCCACAACUAGGAAAUGGUGUACUUGCUACACUACCACAAUUAUCAUUCUCAACUCAGGCAAGACUACCCGCUGAAUUUAAGCAUAUCAAUAA
rnacentral:rRNA from 1 species